rnacentral:rRNA from 1 species
AUUGAACGCUGGCGGCAGGCUUAACACAUGCAAGUCGAGCGGGGUGAUGGUGCUUGCACUAUCACUUAGCGGCGGACGGGUGAGUAAUGCUUAGGAAUCUGCCUAUUAGUGGGGGACAACAUCUCGAAAGGGAUGCUAAUACCGCAUACGUCCUACGGGAGAAAGCAGGGGAUCACUUGUGACCUUGCGCUAAUAGAUGAGCCUAAGUCGGAUUAGCUAGUUGGUGGGGUAAAGGCCUACCAAGGCGACGAUCUGGAGCGGGUGUGAGAGGAUGAUCCGCCACACUGGGACGGAGACACGGCCCAGACUCCUACGGGAGGCAGCAGUGGGGAAUAUUGGACAAUGGGGGGAACCCUGAUCCAGCCAUGCCGCGUGUGUGAAGAAGGCCUUAUGGUUGUAAAGCACUUUAAGCGAGGAGGAGGCUCUUUUGGUUAAUACCCAAGAUGAGUGGACGUUACUCGCAGAAUAAGCACCGGCUAACUCUGUGCCAGCAGCCGCCGUAA